AGUGAACGCUGGCGGUAGGCCUAACACAUGCAAGUCGAACGGCAGCACAGUAAGAGCUUGCUCUUACGGGUGGCGAGUGGCGGACGGGUGAGGAAUACAUCGGAAUCUACUUUUUCGUGGGGGAUAACGUAGGGAAACUUACGCUAAUACCGCAUACGACCUACGGGUGAAAGCAGGGGAUCUUCGGACCUUGCGCGAUUGAAUGAGCCGAUGACGGAUUAGCUAGUUGGCGGGGUAAAGGCCCACCAAGGCGACGAUCCGUAGCUGGUCUGAGAGGAUGAUCAGCCACACUGGAACUGAGACACGGUCCAGACUCCUACGGGAGGCAGCAGUGGGGAAUAUUGGACAAUGGGGGCAAGCCUGAUCCAGCCAUACCGCGUGGGUGAAGAAGGCCUUCGGGUUGUAAAGCCCUUUUGUUGGGAAAGAAAAGCAGCAGGUUAAUACCCCGCUGUUCUGACGGUACCCAAAGAAUAAGCACCGGCUAACUUCGUG
rnacentral:rRNA from 1 species